UUUCUUGUUUCAGACUUGAAUUCGAUGUCCGGAUAACAUUUUCUAUCGAUUUUGUCAUUCGAUGAUGUUGACACGAGAUUGGCUUUGCUUGAUUUUUGGUGUAUGGCUCCAUUAGGAUUGUUUCAUUUAUUCAUCAAACUGCUUCCGAAGUUAGUGAAUUUAGCAUUUCUAAUCAAUUUAGGGCUCUUCAAUUCCAUAAAGUUGCCUUUUUUUUUGCACCUAAUCCAUUUAACUUUGUUAUGUUUUAGAGAUUAUGCUCACUAGUUUUGUGGGAAUGAAACGUUUUAAAACAUUGUGUUUAGAGCUGAAGGAAGGUGCUAAGGACUCAUUGUGUUUCUUCUGCUUUGAGAUUUGCUUGAGAAUUUUGUUGGCUUAGCUCUUUGUUCACUGAAAUGGAUUAGAGUUUUCCUGAAUAAAGGUGCUAAGGGAUCUUUUGUGCUUCUUCACCUGUCUCUGUUGAAAACCGCAACUUCUACUGUCUGAUUGUAUCUGUGUCAUCGUGUAAGGAUAUCUAGGUUGUCUUGCUCCUUUAGUUUUAGUGUCGCUUAGCCUACCUUGUUCAACUGAAAUGGAGGAGAGAUCUCUGAGGGAAGAUAAGCUUGAUGAUGAUAGAACCUUGCGAAUGAGGCUGAGGGCUCUUUGUGCUUCUUCAUCUGUCUUUUUGCUAAACAGUUAGGACCGCUCUUGAAUGUGUUUAUGCGUUCCUCUUGGCGCCAUUCUCUGGAUUGUGGUUGGUAUCGUGGGAAGUCUAAUCCGCUUUUCCACUGCUUUUAUGAUGGAACAUGGAGCACUGUUCAAGGCAGUUUCACCGCUGUCUGCGAUUUUAAAGAUGUCCUAGUUUUCUCUUACUCGAACAUCUAGUGCGGAUCGUCACUAUUAUGAACUAAGGUUACUUCAAAUCCCAGGCGGUGUGAUUGUUGCGGUUCUCGGAAUUCUUGUUGAUUUCCCAGGUAUUGUUCAAAGGGUGGCACCCGUUUGUUUCAUGUCCUUUCUUGGAAACAGUGUGUGUCCCAAUCGAUGGCCUUUAGCUGUUGCCGGAGCAGUUCUAGCAUCCGUGGUCGGUGCUUAUGGCGGUGUAGUGCUCAUAUCAGGAGUCAUCGUUCUUCUUAGGUCUCUGCUAUGUUGUUGCUUCUGUUUCAAUUUAUGAUGAACGAUUUUCUUGACAUGCCAGCAGAAGGUUCUUGCUUUCCCAGGUUUGUCUCCAAAUGGCUUAUCUAGCAAUCUCUGAUCUCUUUCUCUUUUUUUCUUAAUCCUAAAACCGGGGGUUUUUGUUUUAUUCAAAUCUAAUUCCACCGGUUUAUUACUCGGUAUGUUUCUAACCGCACAAUCUAGUACCCAUUUGAAACAAAACCGUUUCUUUAAGCAUAAUUUGAUAUAGGCCCAUUAAGAUAGUUAGCCCAUUAGGAUAGUUAAGCAAAUGAAAAUUGUCCCACAUCGACAAGUUGGUUCCAAUUAUCUGUGUUUAUAUAUUAGAAAGCUUUAGGAACAAUCAAAAUCGGCAGAUGAUGUGUCCCGUUCCUCUUCCCGAGGGUUGAACAAUCCGUUGAUUGGGACCACGCUUGUGUAGCGUGGGAACAAGCUGCAAACAAAACCGGACCUGAUGCCCCUACUUUUU